AUCUUAUCUAAAAGAUAUCAAAAAGAGAACCAUUUGCAUUAUUUCUUUUUUAAAAAAAUAUUUUUUUAGUUGUAAAUGGACCUUUAUUUUAUUUGUUUAUUUAUUUAUUUAUAUGUGGUGCUGAGGACUGAAUCCAGAGCCUUACACAUGCCAGACAAGUACUCUAUCUCUGAGCCACAACUCCAGCCCACAUUAUUUCUUUUAUAUAUAUAUUUUUAGUUGUAGGUAGACACAAUACCUUUAUUUAUUUAUUUUUAUGUGGUGCUGAGGAUUGAACCCAGUACCUCCCAUGUGCUAGGCAAGUGCUCUAUCACUGUGAAACAACCCCAGCCCUAUUUGCAUUAUUUCUAUAAAAAGCAAUCUGUGAGCCUGGUGCAGUGUCUCACACCUAUAAUUCCAGCUACUUGGGAGGCUGAGGCAGGAGGACUGCAAGUUCAAGGUCAGCCUGGGUAACUUAGGAAGACCCUGUCUCAAAAAUAAAAAGAGAUUAGGGGAACAGUUUAGUAUAGCUCAGUGGUAGAAGGGUUGCCUAGCAUAGGUGAAGUUCUAGGUUCAAUUUCUAGUACCAUACAAAACCAACAAAAGAAAAGCAAGAUGUUUGAUUAUGAAGAUAAUAAAAUAUGUCCAGUUUCCACACACAAAAAAAGGUUUUUGGCAAAUAGUUGACACAUGUAAGUAAUCUUAGAGGAGAUAAAGAUGAGUACCAGAACAAAGUAAUGUGAUAAUUCAGUGUACAUGUUGAUGACAGUUUUGGAAACAAGGAAAGUAAUACUGAGAAAGAAAAAGCUAAGAUGGAUGGACAGAGGAAAGAAAAACAAAGUCACCUGGGUGCAGGAAAGCACACAGUGUUGAGAGACAGACCAAAAAUGUCCUUUUGGGCAAAUGAAUUUUUAUGGAAAAUCAGGAAAGAAAGGCUAAUACCAGGUAUAGAUCUUUGCCAAGAUGAGAAUGGUGUCUUAAAUAUAUUGGAGGCACAUGAAAGAGGACUUCUAAGUCCUUGCUUGGCAGGAGUGAAUAAAUUGGAUGAAUUGGCAUAAAGGAUGAGGGACACUGAGAUUCUGACGUCUUAAGGUAGUGAGGGUUCAAGGUUGAGUCGUGGAGAAGUAUAAUUUUAAAAUAGUAAAUUGAGAAGUGAGAAUUGAGCUGAUUUGGGUGAGAGAAAAUGAAAUGUGUUUGAAAUACAAGCAGUAUAUUCAGGUUGAAAUAUUUAAAAGAGCUUUGAAAUUAGGUGUAGUCCUUGAGAAAGGGCCUCAAAAGAUGGUACAAUGUGUGGCCCAGGUUACCAGCAUCAGCUCUGAAGUGAGAUUACCAAGGUUCAAGAACUGGCUUGACCACUUCCUAGUCCUUGUGAUUUUGAGCAAACUUUCUAACCUCUCCAAGUCUUGGUUUCCAUACUUAUAAAAGUGUAGUAGACAUUUUAGCAACUGUUAUUUGUGAUUCAUUUACAUGGAGAUGGUAGUGAAAGUGGUGCUGGUGAAUAAGAUCACAGUGGAGAAUGGGAAGGAAAAGAGGGUUGAAGAGGGUGGUGUGGAGAAAUGCAGCGAUUAAUGGGUGAAAGGAGAAAGUAAGGUCAAAUUAAAAGAAAUGGAAGGGUAUAUAUCAGGAAGGUAGGAGGAAAGUAGGAUAUCACAGCACUUUGAACUGUGAAGGAGGUAAUUUUCACAAAGGAGAGGGUGGCAGAGUAACAUUCAUUGUUGUAGAUAGGUAGAGAGAAAUGAAGAUCAAUAUUCAGGAGUUUUUAGGACAGAGUCAUGAGACCAGUAAUCUAAUGUUUAUCUUCACAACCUUGGAACCUAGCACAUUGCAUAAAAUGUAAUGUGUUUAAUAAAUAUUUGUUGAAUGGAUGGAGAAUAAAUGACUAUUUCUUGGGAUUAAGGAAAAAAUGCACAUAACCUGCAAAAGCUUGCAGGAGAUAGACAUAUAAUAUGAGAAUAUUAGAGAUUAUCCCAAUCAAGGAAGUUAACCAGGAUAAAUAAAACUGAAGUUUAUUUGUAGAAAAGGAAAAAAAAAUAAGUAAGGAAAAUACACAUAAUUUGAGAAAGAGCGUAAAAUAUUUUGGGGCAAAGUCCUAGAACAGAUAGGGGAUGAAUGGAAGUGUAAGAACAGUUUGGGAAAGACAUUCUUUUUCUCCAGGGACAGCAGGAUGGUGAGAAGAUGGUGCAUGUAUUGAGAGGUUUCCUGUGGAGCAGAGAACUGUAAUAGCUGAAAAUAGGACAAGUGGAAGUGAUGUUGACAGUUUUGAGAUUUGGUAUGGUCUUUGGGGAUUGUAGAAGAGAGUCAACCAAAGGCAUUAUGCAGUGGUGUUAACCUGAAUGAUUUGCAGGUGCAGUUAAUAGGACCUUGAAUUUGGCACUGAAGUGUCCAGAGAGGGCUCUUGCCACAGUGUAGCAAGGUAACUGUAGGGAAUCUGGCAUUUUAAAAAUAUUUCAGGAGAAAGAGAUUUCUCUUUUUGUUUUUCCCCUUACAUUAUUUCCCCUCGGUUCAUAAAUCUAAUAAGUGAGAAUAAAGCAGCUGCAAUUUAAAUUUAAAGUGGGUAAUAGCAGAAGCCCUUGCUGUUAUUCUUUUAUGUUAUUUCCAGUUUGCAUCUAGCAAGAGAGAUGAAGCAGGGAGGUGGUUAGAAAAUAUAAAAUUGGUAAUUUUUUUUUCUCCAGGAGUAACUACUAAAAUGGUAUCAUUCUGGAAUGUUUUUACCUGAAAGCAAAGUCUGGGAGAUCUUUUAUUAACAAUCUAAAUUAGCUAUUUCUUUUUCUAUUCAAUUUCAUUCAAUUUCUCUUUAUAUACAAAGGAUAUAAAGGCAGCUUUUGAUAAUUCAGGUUUGUGCAUAAUUUUAUUAGUAGAGAAAAAUAUUAUUGCAGAUUGGAAAUGGGCAUUAAAUAUGAGAAAAGACAAAAGAUAGCCAGAAUGAAUCCACUUAUGUCUGUUCUGAUAUUUCUUGGAUCUUGCUUACUUUCUUACUGUUUCUCUCUAGUUCAGUAGCUACAAUGAUAAGAACAUUGGGUUUGGUAGGUUUUACCAAAAUUAUUGGUAUCCUUAAAUAUCUUUUUUUAAAGUCUGUGUCCCUUUUCAGAGUUCCCUACAAAGGCUUAUUUUGCUCCCUGAGAAAAGUGAUGAAAGCCAAGGAUUGUUAUUGUAGUAGAUGUGAUUGGGAUGUGUUGUUUUUAGUUUUUACAGAAAAUGUUUUUAAUGUUCCCUAUGCGAUUUUCCAUCCCCCCUUUGGUAUUUCUAUUAAUGUUUAAUAUUUAAUUAUUGCUACUUUUCCCUCCCUCUAUCAACCCAUUUCUCAGAAUCAAAACAAUAUCUUAAGAAUUUUUGUUCUAGAAAAAAAGGUAUUUUCAAUAUACUUUUCCCAGUUCACCACUGCUCUUGAAGUAUAUGGGAGACAUAAAAGUGGCAGUAGAAAUAGGAUAUAUUUUGGAGAAAGAAAAUAUAAGAGAUGCUGAUUGAAAGAUAGUGGUGUGAGGAAAAGUAAGGAGACAUGACUUCCAUAUUUGUAGCUAAAUUAGAUAUAUGAUGGUGGUGCUGUAACUGAGGUGGAGAAAAUGAGUAGAGUCAAAUUGGGAUGGGAAAUCAAAGAGUCUGGUGUAAUAAAUCUUAUAUUUAUCAUCUCUCAAAGUAAUCCCUUACCUAUUAGUAGCUAUUCUACUUUCUUACCUUUCCUCUUCUCCCCCCAACUCCGGG
rnacentral:lncRNA from 1 species